AAGUCGUAACAAGGUUUCCGUAGGUGAACCUGCGGAAGGAUCAUUACCUAGAGUUGUAGGCUUUGCCUGCUAUCUCUUACCCAUGUCUUUUGAGUACCUUCGUUUCCUCGGCGGGUCCGCCCGCCGAUUGGACAAUUUAAACCAUUUGCAGUUGCAAUCAGCGUCUGAAAAAACUUAAUAGUUACAACUUUCAACAACGGAUCUCUUGGUUCUG
rnacentral:misc_RNA from 1 species